rnacentral:rRNA from 1 species
UACGUAGGCAGCAAGCGUUGUUCGGAGUUACUGGGCGUAAAGAGUGCGUAGGCGGUUUUUUAAGUUUGGUGUGAAAUCUCCCGGCUUAACUGGGAGGGUGCGCCGAAAACUGGAAGGCUCGAGGAUGGGAGAGGCAUGCGGAAUUCCCGGUGUAGCGGAUGAAAUGCGUAGAUAUCGGGAGGAACCCCAGAGGCGAAGGCGGCAGCCUGGUUGGCUCCUGACGCUCGGGACACGACAGCAUGGGGAGCGAACGGG